rnacentral:rRNA from 1 species
GAGUUUGAUCCUGGCUCAGGACGAACGCUGGCGGCGUGCCUAAUACAUGCAAGUCGAACGAACUCUGGUAUUGAUUGGUGCUUGCAUCAUGAUUUACAUUUGAGUGAGUGGCGAACUGGUGAGUAACACGUGGGAAACCUGCCCAGAAGCGGGGGAUAACACCUGGAAACAGAUGCUAAUACUGCAUAACAACUUGGACCGCAUGGUCCGAGCUUGAAAGAUGGCUUCGGCUAUCACUUUUGGAUGGUCCCGCGGCGUAUUAGCUAGAUGGUGGGGUAACGGCUCACCAUGGCAAUGAUACGUAGCCGACCUGAGAGGGUAAUCGGCCACAUUGGGACUGAGACACGGCCCAAACUCCUACGGGAGGCAGCAGUAGGGAAUCUUCCACAAUGGACGAAAGUCUGAUGGAGCAACGCCGCGUGAGUGAAGAAGGGUUUCGGCUCGUAAAACUCUGUUGUUAAAGAAGAACAUAUCUGAGAGUAACUGUUCAGGUAUUGACGGUAUUUAACCAGAAAGCCACGGCUAACUACGUGCCAGCAGCCGCGGUAAUACGUAGGUGGCAAGCGUUGUCCGGAUUUAUUGGGCGUAAAGCGAGCGCAGGCGGUUUUUUAAGUCUGAUGUGAAAGCCUUCGGCUCAACCGAAGAAGUGCAUCGGAAACUGGGAAACUUGAGUGCAGAAGAGGACAGUGGAACUCCAUGUGUAGCGGUGAAAUGCGUAGAUAUAUGGAAGAACACCAGUGGCGAAGGCGGCUGUCUGGUCUGUAACUGACGCUGAGGCUCGAAAGUAUGGGUAGCAAACAGGAUUGGAUACCCUGGUAGUCCAUACCGUAAACGAUGAAUGCUAAGUGUUGGAGGGUUUCCGCCCUUCAGUGCUGCAGCUAACGCAUUAAGCAUUCCGCCUGGGGAGUACGGCCGCAAGGCUGAAACUCAAAGGAAUUGACGGGGGCCCGCACAAGCGGUGGAGCAUGUGGUUUAAUUCGAAGCUACGCGAAGAACCUUACCAGGUCUUGACAUACUAUGCAAAUCUAAGAGAUUAGACGUUCCCUUCGGGGACAUGGAUACAGGUGGUGCAUGGUUGUCGUCAGCUCGUGUCGUGAGAUGUUGGGUUAAGUCCCGCAACGAGCGCAACCCUUAUUAUCAGUUGCCAGCAUUAAGUUGGGCACUCUGGUGAGACUGCCGGUGACAAACCGGAGGAAGGUGGGGAUGACGUCAAAUCAUCAUGCCCCUUAUGACCUGGGCUACACACGUGCUACAAUGGAUGGUACAACGAGUUGCGAACUCGCGGGAGUAAGCUAAUCUCUUAAAGCCAUUCUCAGUUCGGAUUGUAGGCUGCAACUCGCCUACAUGAAGUCGGAAUCGCUAGUAAUCGCGGAUCAGCAUGCCGCGGUGAAUACGUUCCCGGGCCUUGUACACACCGCCCGUCACACCAUGAGAGUUUGUAACACCCAAAGUCGGUGGGGUAACCUUUUAGGAACCAGCCGCCUAAGGUGGGACAGAUGAUUAGGGUG